rnacentral:rRNA from 1 species
UACGUAGGGUGCGAGCGUUAACCGGAAUCAUUGGGCGUAAAGAGCUCGUAGGCGGUUCAGCAAGUCGGCUGUGAAAGUCCGAGGCUCAACCUCGGAAUUGCAGUCGAUACUGCUGUGACUCGAGUCCGGUAGAGGAGAACGGAAUUCCCGGUGUAGCGGUGAAAGGCGCAGAUAUCGGGAGGAACACCAGUAGCGAAGGCGGUUCUCUGGGGCGGCACUGACGUUGAGGAGCGAAAGCGGGGGAAGCGAACAGG